ensembl:lncRNA
GUCACUCAGUUGUGUCCAACUCUUUGCGACGCCAUGGACUGCAGCCCACCAGGCUCCUGUGUCCAUGGAAUUCUCCAGGCAAGAAUACUGGAAUGGGUAGCCAUUCCCUUGUCCAGGCGAUCUUCCUGACCCAGGGAUGGAACCUGUGUCUUCUACAUUGCAGCAGUUUCUUUACUGUCUGAGCCACCAGGGAAGCCCAUCUGUGUUUAAUAGGUCUUUUUUAGUUCUGGAAAAGGCAAAAUCUUUGGAGCUCCUGGUCUCUGUAUGUCCAGGGAAUCUAGAAGGAGCUUGACAGUGGCCAGGGUGGAAGGGUUACAAGCAGGUGAGCAGCCGGCUGGAGAAAUAGGGCUAAAUGGAAUCUCUCCCCACCCUCCCCAACCAUCUGAAGGAGGGGAGCACUAAUCUGUGGUUCUAAGAGAUAGAAAAACACCAACUGCUAGCAAGAUAAUCCAAUUUCCUUUUUCCCUCGCUCUGAAGGGGACUGCCCCAGCCCUCCUGCUCCAACUUCACGCUGAGUUUCAGUCUGGCUAGAACUCUUUACCCCUGCAGCAGAAUUCAUAUCAAAGCCUCAGCCCCCCAGGGUUCAUUAGGAGGCAUUUAUUUCUGCAUAUUCUUGGAGAGCAGGAGGCAGGAUAACUUAUUCGCAAUGCAAAUUGCUUGGCUGUAAUUUCAACUCUCCCUCCCUUCUCACAGGGAGAUUUUGCAGGUCAUUAAAAAUAUAUGAUUGCUUCCAAAAUAUCAGGGAGAGCCGCUCUGCUGGGCUGGAUCAGGUGCUGGUGCUGGAAGGCCCCUGAAUGAUGUGGCGUGGAUGCCAGGCCCUCGCUCUUGUUCCAGCCUCUAGGCCCCAGAUCACAACUAUGGUGGCCCAGGUGGGAUGCAGACCCACUCUGUCUUCAUUUCUGUCUUGCCUUUUUAACUGCUGUGGGGCGUCCGAGCUCUCAGUUUCCUCCUUUAUAAAAAGAGGAAUAAAUAAGCACCUGGACCCAGAGCACAUGGUUCGGAGUAGAUCUUUGGGCUAGGCCCUUCCCUACCCCAUUGCUGUUAGGCUCAAUGACCCCUUUGUUCAUUCCAUUGCCUUCCCCAAUGUGGGCUCCUGGGACCCAGGAAAGGAACUGUUGCUUGGAUCUUCCGGUCAUGAUGAGGGUUUCACUUGGUGUUUACAGAGUUGCUGUGGGAAUUCAAAAGCCCCACAAGUUGAAGGCCUUUGCCUUCAACCUAAUUGAUCCCAUAGACUCUGGUCAGUUACAGAGGAAGGGAGAUCUAAGAGAUAUGAGCAUUGCUCAAAGCCAUUGUUUCUGUAUAAAAGCAAGAGGUUUUAGCCAGGCAGGCAGAAAGCCACUCCUGCACGAGUCUGAGGCACUGACCUGUGAUCUCCUGGUAGGAUGGAGAUCUCUUUAGUCCUAGUCCCCCUGAGUCUCAUUUGCUCUAGCCUUGAACUGCAGGUCUAAGAGAUGCCCUGCUUGGGACUUCCUGGUCCAGUAGGUAAAAAUUUGCCUUGCAAUGCAAGGGUCACUGGUUAAAUCCUUGGUCUGGCAACUAAGAUCCCAAAUGCCUUAGAGCAACUGAGCCCGUGAGCCACAACUAGAGAGUCUGCGGGCCACGCAUGAAGAUCCCGCAUGCCGCAACUAAGACUCGAGACAGCCAAACAAAUAAUAAAUAUUUUUAAAUGUCCUGCUUGUGCAUGUGUGCUAAGUCACUUCAGUUGUGUCCUGCUCUUUGUGAUCCUAUGGACCAUAGCCUGCCAGUCUCCUCUGUCCAUGGAAUUAUCCAGGCAAGAAUACUGGAGUGGGUUGCCAUGUCUUCCUCCAGGGGAUCUUUCCAGCCCAGGGAUCGAACCUGCUUCUCUUAAUAUCUCUGGUCUCUUAUGUCUCCUGCAUUAGCAGGCGGAUUCUUUACCCCUAGUGCCACUUGGGAAACCCCACCCUGCUUAAAUAAUGAUAAAGUUAGUUCAUGGAUCUGGACUCACAGAAUGGAGGCUGACCCAAGGCCCAGCUCAAGCCAGGAGUUUCAACCCUAAAUCAACCUGCACUUAACAGGAAACACCUUUCCAUCAAGGCAAGCUAUCACCAAUCACAACCCCCAGUUCAGCUUCAGCUGGCUCACCUUACCCUGGAAAAUCAGGCCUGAGCCUUAUAAGGAAAUGCCCCAACCUCCCAGCCAGUCAUGCCCUAUUUCCAAGUCGCUCCUUUGUUGCCUCUAAUAGACUAAAGCCUCACUCUUGACCAAAACCCCUUGAGAAGAGCACUGUAUUCCUCCAAGGCAUGGGUUGUUUUCCCUUGAAUAAAGGACAUCAAACUCAUUACUAACUUGUUUUAGUUUUGUCAUUUGACAAUAAUAUGCACAUAAUCCUUGAGAAGCACAGCUAUAUAAUUGUUGGAGGAAAGUCAUGUAUUUCGAAAGUUUUAAAUUAUCUUUUAAAUUCAGAUUUAAAAGAUAUCUGGGAAAAACAGUUUGGCAAUUUCUCAAAAUGUCAAACAGAGUUGAUUUGACCCAGUAUUUCCACUCCUACGUCUAUAACUUAAGGAAAUGAAAACACAGGGCCCCCUGAAAACUUGCCCGUGAAUGUUCAUGGCGGCAUUACUCAUAAUUGCCAAAAAAGGGAAAACAAUCCAAAUGUCCAUCAAAGAAUGAAUGGAUAAAUAAAACAUGAGUCUCUCUCCUCUCUAGACUCUCACAUACACACCUGCCUGCAUUCAGCAUUUAAUUUCAACCAUUUGAUGAAAAAAUCAGUCUUCUCCACAUAAAGGGUUUGGAGCCAGGUUCUCUCCAGGAGCCUGAGAGGAGAGGCCACCUUCCCUCCUCUAAAGUCCUCCCUCCUCCACAUACAUCUUCUGCUUUAGCAUCUUCACAUUUUGCAUUUCUGGAAGCCUUCCAUGCCUUUGUGCAUCCUCAUCAUGGAAUGCUUUCUCCUGCAUUUCUGCCCAUGGACCACCUACUGGUCUUCCAGAGCCUUUCCCUGGAACCACUUGGUUACUGCCUCCCCCUGGGUUGGGAAGCAGCACAGGCCCCAUGGGACUGAGCUCUUCAGGUGCAGAGACUGUGGCUCACUCCCCUGAAUCCUGGUGGGAUACAGGACAUAUGAAUCACCUUGAUCCUUACUGAAUAAGGGCUGAAUAUGGAGCUUCUUUCUCUUGGUUCAAGUGGAAAGCGCACACACAAUUGUUGCCUUUCAAAUCAGAAGUGGCUUAACUUCUUUGUUUUGGUCCAAACCCAUCCCCCUCAACACUCCCUGUGUACAAAUGCAUCAAAUUUGUGGACUUCAAAGGGCGUUCCACAAUGGUGCACCCUUGCUCUGCAGUCCACCUGAGCAAUUCUACACUUUCGUGCCUUCAGAGAUGAGAUUCCCCCUGUCCUUUACACCUUGCUCCAUCCACCCUGUUGUU